rnacentral:rRNA from 1 species
GAACGCUGGCGGAAUGCUUUACACAUGCAAGUCGAACGGCAGCACGGGAGCAAUCCUGGUGGCGAGUGGCGAACGGGUGAGUAAUAUAUCGGAACGUGCCCGGUCGUGGGGGAUAACGUAGCGAAAGCUACGCUAAUACCGCAUACGAUCUACGGAUGAAAGCGGGGGAUCGCAAGACCUCGCGCGAUUGGAGCGGCCGAUAUCAGAUUAGGUAGUUGGUGAGGUAAAGGCUCACCAAGCCGACGAUCUGUAGCUGGUCUGAGAGGACGACCAGCCACACUGGGACUGAGACACGGCCCAGACUCCUACGGGAGGCAGCAGUGGGGAAUUUUGGACAAUGGGCGCAAGCCUGAUCCAGCAAUGCCGCGUGCAGGAUGAAGGCCUUCGGGUUGUAAACUGCUUUGUACGGAACGAAACGGUGAGCUCUAAUACAGUUUGCUAAUGACGGUACCGUAAGAAUAAGCACCGGCUAACUACGUG